UCAAACUUGGUCAUUUAGAGGAAGUAAAAGUCGUAACAAGGUUUCCGUAGGUGAACCUGCGGAAGGAUCAUUACAAAUCCAUCACGUCUCUCUCACCGAGACCACGUUGAACUGUUCUGCUGCCGUGCGGCGUGGGGACGGGCGCGCUUGCGCGCGCUUCGCUCUCCCGCCGCGCCCAGCAACAUCACAUUCACUAGUUAUCUCUUGUUGCACGAGUGUAUUGGGAAGCAUCGUUCCGCUUAGGAGCCGAUGUCUUAACAACGUACAACUUAUGACAAUGGAUCUCUAGGCUCUUGCAUCGAUGAAGAACGCAGC
rnacentral:misc_RNA from 1 species